rnacentral:rRNA from 1 species
GCUGGCGGCACGCCUAACACAUGCAAGUCGAACGAAGUAGCAAUACUUAGUGGCAGACGGGUGAGUAACAUGUAGGUAUCUGCCCUUUGGCCUGGAAUAACACGAGGAAACUUGUGCUAAUACCGGAUAAGUCUUUACGGAGAAAGCUUUAUGCACCAUUGGAUGAGCCUGCACUUGAUUAGUUUGUUGGUGGGGUAAUGGCCUACCAAGACUGUGAUCAAUAGCUGAUUUGAGAGGAUGAUCAGCCACAUUGGGACUGAGACACGGCCCAAACUCCUACGGGAGGCAGCAGUGGGGAAUCUUGCACAAUGGAGGAAACUCUGAUGCAGCGAUGCCGCGUGAGUGAAGAAGGCCCUUGGGUUGUAAAGCUCUUUCGUCGGGGAAGAAAAUGACUGUACCCGAAUAAGAAGGUCCGGCUAACUUCGUGCCAGCAGCCGCGGUAAUACGAAGGGACCUAGCGUAGUUCGGAAUUACUGGGCUUAAAGAGUUCGUAGGUGGUUGAAAAAGUUAGUGGUGAAAUCCCAGAGCUUAACUCUGGAACUGCCAUUAAAACUUUUCAGCUAGAGUAUGAUAGAGGAAAGCAGAAUUUCUAGUGUAGAGGUGAAAUUCGUAGAUAUUAGAAAGAAUACCAAUUGCGAAGGCAGCUUUCUGGAUCAUUACUGACACUGAGGAACGAAAGCAUGGGUAGCGAAGAGGAUUAGAUACCCUCGUAGUCCAUGCCGUAAACGAUGUGUGUUAGACGUUGGAAAUUUAUUUUCAGUGUCGCAGGGAAACCGAUAAACACACCGCCU